GAGCGGAGCCGAACGGAGCCGAACCCGCCCGGCUCCCCCCCCCCCCCCCCAAGUCCCCCCUCCCUCCCCUCCUCUCCUCAACCUCCCCCCCCCCUCCCUCCCUCCGUCCUCCGCCCCCGCCUCCUCCGCCCCCGCCCCUCCCGCCCCGGGGGCUCCGGCGCUCGGUGUCACCGUAUCAUUGUCCGUGCGGAACCCCUGCGGGCCCCCCCGGCACACGCACACACUCACACACACACCGCACGCACUCACACACACACACACACCCCUCCCCGGCCCGCCCUCCCCCCCCUCCCCUCCCCUCCCCUCAGAACCACCUCAAUGAGAUGCAAACAUGAAAGACAAGAGGAAGAAGAAGGACCGCACCUGGGCCGAGGCUGCCCGCCUGGGAGGAGCUGCCCAGGUGUGCUGAGGGGCCUGUACUCAGGAAGAGAAACAGGGAAUCCUCCACAGUCCCUUUUGAAUCUUGCCUAUCGAUGUACAUGAGAUAAGCUCAGUUCAGCUCCCAGACCUUUCUAGCGCAGCCCUCACUUCUGCAUUUUCCUUUUGUGGAACUGAAAGAUAAAGGAUAAGAAGCUCACCUGCAGCAAAACAGCCAAAGGAUUUGGUAAACCAUUUUCGAUGAGAAAGGGGAGAACAGGUAGCAAGUCAGAAUUAUAAAAUGGCAAGAGAAGGUUGAGCUAG
rnacentral:lncRNA from 1 species